rnacentral:lncRNA from 1 species
GUCUCUCUGAGUUCCAGCUGGGCUGCUUUCUACCCUCUUGUCUCAGCCUCCUUGGUGCUAGGGUUGUUUGUGAUGCCAAACAUCCUUGUGAUGCCAGGCUUGUUUGUUGUUUGCCUGUUUGUGGUACUGGGGUUGAACCCAGGGCUGCAUCCCAGCCUGUUUGUAUUUUGUUUGGAGGCAGGGAGUCCUUAAGUCACCCCGGCUGACUCACUGUCCCUCUUCCUGCCUCGGCCUCCACAGCACUGGGUCUCCAGGCUGUGCCGCCACUUGGACCGAAACUGGAGCUUCCGCCUCUGAGCACUUCGGCUCUCAGGGCCCAUGUUGUCCUCCCGCACCCAUUCCGCACGGCCUGCUGCAGUAAAGGCCCACUGCGAGCUCUGCUGCUGGCCGAAUCAGGAGGUCUCCCUUUCAUCAGGUUUCUCACCCUGGGCCCAGGGGAGAGGCUACCAACUAUGCGUGCGCUCCCGCCUGUGUCUGUGCAAGGUGUGAUCAAGAGCGCAGUGAGUGCUGCUGCCGAACGCCAUGUAAUGGGCAGAAAAACAAGACGCUGCGUCCUCGUCCACCUUGUUCACCAGGUCUGGCACCCAGACUUCCGGCUCUGCCCAAAGUCAAGGUGACUGUGAAAGGUCGACGUUUUGAAUCAAUUGAGGAUAUCAAGGCAGCCAUGACAGUGCGACACAGGCCCUCAGGAAAGAGGACUCCAGAGCUGCUGCAGGAGGGGCCGGGACAGUGGGAUGAGUGUGUUGAGGGGAGGACGGGGGGGGGGGCUCGGGGCCACGUGACUCUUGCUGCAAUGCUUCUAUUUAUUUGAGCAUUCACUGAGCUUUUUUCGAUCACACCUAGUAUAAGACCCAGGGUUUCUGCCCUGUGUUUUCAGGGCCUUCCAUGGAGCUGCCUCCAGGCCCCCAUGGCUGUCCCGCAGCCUGUGGGGAAUCUCUCUGUGUUUCCCAGCUAAAGGUCCAAUGCGAUCCAUGAACAAGACACCCACCAGGACAGACGGCCGGCCUCUGCCCCAGGACGCUUGCAUGGCAGGUGCAGAGUGUGCAGCUCAGUGAGGGGUGUAGCAGGUCUCAGACAGGG